rnacentral:lncRNA from 1 species
UGUGACUUCACAGCCUCUGUACUUCAGAAAGGUGGAUGAUUAAGUCCAGGUAUAAUAAUAAGUGCAGGUAUUGUUAGCACCCUUGGCAUCUCCUUGCAAUUAGAGUCUCUACUUUUCAUUCCAGAGGCCACCGAUAUGGUCCUGGAGGGCCGCCCCUCCUCACUGCAGCCUGCCUGCUCCCCUUGUGCCUCUGUGUCCAGCUGGAGCCCAAUGCCUGCUGUUCACUUCUCUGACUUCUGCCUCCUCAGCGGUUCUAGGAAGGAAAACAGGAGAGAGCCCUGAGCCCUGACCUUCUUCUGUCACCAUCAGCUUGUGAUAUCUUCUCAGGCCAGCUCUAGCCAACUCUGUGACUGUUUCCACAGGUGCCGAUGUUGGCAUCAUGUCUAACUUCUGCUGCUUCUCAAAGUUGCCAUGAUAAUCUCAUUAGAGAG